AGUGAAGGCUGGCGGUAGGCCUAACACAUGCAAGUCGAACGGCAGCACAGUAAGAGCUUGCUCUUACGGGUGGCGAGUGGCGGACGGGUGAGGAAUACAUCGGAAUCUACUUUUUCGUGGGGGAUAACGUAGGGAAACUUACGCUAAUACCGCAUACGACCUACGGGUGAAAGCAGGGGAUCUUCGGACCUUGCGCGAUUGAAUGAGCCGAUGUCGGAUUAGCUAGUUGGCGGGGUAAAGGCCCACCAAGGCGACGAUCCGUAGCUGGUCUGAGAGGAUGAUCAGCCACACUGGAACUGAGACACGGUCCAGACUCCUACGGGAGGCAGCAGUGGGGAAUAUUGGACAAUGGGCGCAAGCCUGAUCCAGCCAUACCGCGUGGGUGAAGAAGGCCUUCGGGUUGUAAAGCCCUUUUGUUGGGAAAGAAAAGCAGCAGGUUAAUACCCCGCUGUUCUGACGGUACCCAAAGAAUAAGCACCGGCUAACUUCGU
rnacentral:rRNA from 1 species